CAGCCUGUGCAGUGUAGCUGACUAGAGAGAAGAGGCUCUAAGGUUUCUCAUUUAGGGCCAACACUGUCCCUGUGCCAGGUGACCUACAAGGCCCAGCAGUGUCUGAACAUCACCCUCACCAGGCCCUGCCAUAAUGGAGCUGUCGAUGUGAAAGGGGCAUGUCAGAACAUGAAAGUGAAGAUGUGAAUGAUAUGAGCUUGUGCCCUUCUGGAAUCACAGUGUCACCCAACGUUUGGGAAGUAGAACCAUGACAGGACCCAGGAAAGGCAACUGAGCUUCCUGAGCUAACUCCAUCCUGGCUGCGGGAGACAGAACUGGGCCAGCACCUGAUGCUGCAGCUCCCCAACGGAAACCCUGCACCCCAGCUCUCACUGGCCCGGGCCAGGCCCUGCAUGCCAUCUGCAUGCAGGUUCUCUUCUUCCCCCGACAAAG